CCUACGGGAGGCAGCAGUGAGGAAUAUUGGUCAAUGGACGAGAGUCUGAACCAGCCAAGUAGCGUGAAGGAUGACUGCCCUAUGGGUUGUAAACUUCUUUUAUAAAGGAAUAAAACGAGGCACGUGUGCCUUUUUGCAUGUACUUUAUGAAUAAGGAUCGGCUAACUCCGUGCCAGCAGCCGCGGUAAUACGGAGGAUCCGAGCGUUAUCCGGAUUUAUUGGGUUUAAAGGGAGCGUAGAUGGGUUGUUAAGUCAGUUGUGAAAGUUUGCGGCUCAACCGUAAAAUUGCAAUUGAUACUGGCAUUCUUGAGUACAGUUGAGGUAAGCGGAAUUCGUGGUGUAGCGGUGAAAUGCUUAGAUAUCACGAAGAACCCCGAUUGCGAAGGCAGCUUACUAAACUGUGACUGACAUUGAUGCUCGAAAGUGUGGGUAUCAAACAGGAUUAGAUACCCCGGUAGUC
rnacentral:rRNA from 1 species